rnacentral:lncRNA from 1 species
GAGGCACCGAUCACUGCUCCUUCGUUGCCCGCAAGGCCCUCCUUGGCCACGGACUCUGGAGGCCAGUGCCU